UGAGAGGUUUGUGAUUGCUGUAGGAGAU
rnacentral:piRNA from 1 species